GGUUUCUUCCACACUUCUAGGAAAAGGGAUUUAAUCGGGUACUGCUAAUACUACCAUGGGAUUUAAGGCCUGGUGCCCUAUAUUUAUUGCCAUCUCUGAAUUUUAGUACUGGAGCACUGGAUGAGGAAGAAGCUGGAAUGAAAGAUUUUUGGUGAAACUGAGAACGAUUUUCACCCUCUGACUUAGGUUGAGCGAAGUUGAAGCUACCUAUUCUUAGCCUCCUCUAUCUUUUGAGCAUGAACCAUGAGCCUGCAUAUGUUUAUCUCUUUAAUUAGCAUUGUGGUCCUACAUACCUUGACCAUACU
rnacentral:lncRNA from 1 species